AUUGAACGCUGGCGGCCGGCUUAACCCAUGCAAGGCGAGCGAGCGGCGGACGGGUGAGUAAUGUCUGGGAAACUGCCUUAUGGAGGGGGAUAACUACUGGAAACGGUAGCUAAUACCGCAUACCAUCAGAUGUGCCCAGAUGGGAUUAGCUAGUAGGUGGGGUAAUGGCUCACCUAGGCGACGAUCCCUAGCUGGUCGGAGAUGAUGCCCAGCCACACUGGAAAUGAUACACGUUCCAGACUCCUACGGGAGGAAGCAGUGGGGAAUAUUGCACAAUGGGCGCAAGCCUGAUGCAGCCAUGCCGCGUGUGUGAAGAAGGCCUUCGGGUUGUAAAGCACUUUCAGCGAGGAGGCGUUACUCGCAGAAGAAGCACCGGCUAACUCCGUGCCAGCAGCCGCGGUAAUAC
rnacentral:rRNA from 1 species